CUCUACAGCCAUACCAUCCUGAAUGCUCCUGAUCUCAUCUGAUAUCAGAAGUUAACUAGGGUUGGGCCUAGUUAGUACUUGUAGAGA
ensembl:rRNA 5S_rRNA 5S ribosomal RNA